UGAGGAAUGACGGCCUGUGGGUUGUAAACCUCUUUUCUCAAGGAAGAAGUUCUGACGGUACUUGAGGAAUAAGCAUCGGCUAACUCUGUGCCAGCAGCCGCGGUAAUACAGAGGAUGCAAGCGUUAUCCGGAAUCACUGGGCAUAAAGCGUCUGUAGGUGGUUUGAUAAGUCUGCUGUUAAAGACUGGGGCUCAACCCCAGGAAAGCAGUGGAAACUGUCAGACUUGAGUAUGGUAGAGGUAGAGGGAAUUCCUAGUGUAGCGGUGAAAUGCGUAGAUAUUAGGAAGAACACCAAUGGCGAAGGCACUCUACUGGACCAUAACUGACACUGAGAGACGACAGCUAGGGGAGCAAAUGGGAUUAGAUACCCCAGUAGUCCUAGCCGUAAACGAUGGAUACUAGAUGUUGCACGUAUUAACCCGUGCAGUAUCGUAGCUAAGGCGUUAAGUAUCCCGCCUGGGAAGUACGCUCGCAAGAGUGAAACUCAAAGGAAUUGACGG
rnacentral:rRNA from 1 species